CUCCUUCCAAAUGCAGCUUUGACUGUGAUUCAUGGCAAAAAGCUGGAAUAACCCUGCCAAGUCUUAGAAGCUUUAAGAUUCAUCGCAUUGAACUUGAUACAUAUAGUACAGCACCUUGAAAACAAAUCAUCUGCUAGUUCAGUAUUUUCUACUUACAAUCACUCCCUCCCAGGGCAUGUAAUUAAUUUACUGAGCUUACCAAAAAAAAAAAAAAAAAAAAAGUCAGGAUUACUCACACAGUCUUCAAGAUGCAAUGUCAGCUAUUUAGGACAGAAACAUCCAAGGCCGUGUUAGAACUCAGUUACCACAACACGUGCAUUAAAGCAGGAACUGGCAGGGCCCUGGACUACAGCAACUAUAGGACUCCUGCUUCUCGUACGCUGGGCUAUAAUCUAUGAAACUGAGCCCCAGAUCCAGCCAAUCAUUUAGCUCCUCAUAACAAGUCUAACUGGCUCUGGAAAGCUGAAAGGGCUGCACUGGAACAACAUAGAUGAGAUAUUCCACACAAUAAUCUGCUUAUCUGGAAUCGCUUUGCCUCGAAAAGCCAGAGAAAAAUCACAGCUUCAUUGUCUAGGGGGGAAAGGACAGGUGAUCUGGGAACAACAACGCAGCUACACCUGGAGUGAGAUCUCUUUCUGGCUUGGCAGUCCCAACGGUGCCGGCAUUCCAAGACCUGAGCCACCCUAGAAACCAAAGGGCAACUACAGCAGCAGAAGCCUGAGUGCUGCUGCCUACGGUGACUAUGUGAGAAUGGAAACUUCUAAGGAAGCCAAGUUUUUAGAAUUUUUGUCCCCUUUACUCAAAGAUAACAUAGAUUAUAUAGUCUGAAAUGGAAAACAAGUCUUUAAGCUAUGUCUUCUGGAUGAAGAAUGAAGAGCUCCCAAUCCCAGAACUCAUGCCAAUGCACAUUUUUGUCCACUGUGAGACACCAAGCUGAGCACUCUAUAUUACAGCCACAGGUGUUUGCACGCUGCAAGCCAGUGUUAUAUUUGCCUGGUUCUUUGCAUCCUAGGAUUGAUUUAGCAGGCAAAUCUUCAGGGCUCAGUGCUGAUGGAUAUAUCCUGAAGCUAACUUCAAAGGCAGACCUUAGGUUUAUUGAAAUAAAAUAAGCAUAGUACUUCAAUUACAAAUAAGUAUUUUGAA